rnacentral:rRNA from 1 species
GCUCUAAAUUUAUAAUAGAAUUUUAUUUUUUAGUCAAAAAGCUAAAAUAAAUUUAAAAGACGAGAAGACCCUAUAAAUCUUUAUAUUUAGAUAAUUACAAUUUUGUGGAUUUUUUUUGUUGUGAUUGUUGAUAAUAUUUUAUUGGGGUGAUAUUAAAAUUUAAAAAACUUUUAAUUAAUUAAAUCAUUAAUUUAUGAAUAAUUGAUCCGUUAUUAACGAUUAAAAAUUUAAGUUACCUUAGGGAUAACAG